AUAACAAGUUAUACAAGGGAUCAUUCUCCUUGCCUCCUAAAAUGUCUGCGCUCAUCCAAGGCAGAUUAUAUGCUAUGGGAGGUCCAUGAAAGAAUCUAUGGAAGCCACUUAGGAGGUAGGUUCCUCUCUUACAAAAUCCUUUGGCAAGGCUACUACUAGCCCACUAUGCAGUAGGAUGCAGGUGCCUUCGUCAGAAAAUACGAUCGGUGUCAGAGGAUCUCCAAUA
rnacentral:lncRNA from 1 species